UGACGUCACAUUUCCAACGCCAGCUCAUCAGAGCAAUGUGGUAUCUGUAAUCGUACUGAGUUUAUCGAACAGCUUUGGACCUUCUGUGUCGAUCCCACUGCUGCAUCUGUCACGUGACACUGCCGAUUUGUUUUGGUUGUUACAUCAGCUGGGCCUGAAAUGAUCUGGCGUGCUAAACUAAUUGGCUAGCUGUUGACAGCGAACAGGCUUCGUGCUGCAGUGACUGCUGGCCAGGGAAUAUCGAGGCAUAGUUGUCUUGAAGCUAAUAUUCCACUGCUCAAAGGAGGAAUUGUAGCUCAUGUCUGGAAGUCUACGCGAUUUGACAGCGGAAUUGUCUAGCUUUCAGCGCCAUCGUCGUCCAUCUGUGCGAUGUGGCUCAAGUUGUUUUUUUUGCUCCUGUAUUUCAUCGUGUUGUUUAUGCUAGCGAGGAUAUUUGAAGCGGUAGUUUGGUAUGAGACUGGCGUGUUCGCAACACAGCUAGUCGACCCUGUGUCUCUCAGCUACAAGAAACUCAAGACCAUCCUGGAGUGUCGAGGGCUGGCAUACACUGGGCUGGCUGAGAAGAAGGAUGUCAGCCAGCUGGUGGAGAAAUCAGGAGAGCUGACACAUGGAGAGCUGUACUCUGCCAUCAAGAAAGAGAAGGAGCAAACAGAGGCAGAAGAAGUCAGCAGCACACACUUCAGUGGAGAGACUCACUUCUAUGAAUUAGUGGAGGACACUAAAGAUGGGAUCUGGUUGGUUCAGGUCAUUGCCCAGGACCGAGAAGCUCUGCUCGAUAAGUCAAACUGGGGGAAGAUGGUGCAGAAGGUAUCUCAGUUUGGAAUUCGAACUGGAACAUUUAACUGCUCUCAUGACAAAAGGUUGUGUAUCAGACGUGGCUGGGAACGUUCUACUCUCAUCAUGUCAGUUCCACAGACUUCUGCCUCGAAGGGCAAAGUGAUGCUGAAAGAAUACAAUGGACGCCGCAUUGAAACCGAACAUAUCUUCCGCUGGAUGACCUCACAUAUGUCUCACCGCAUCAAGACACUGUGUGAUACUGAGAAACUACUGGAGGAAUGGCACCCUGACCCACUUCACCCAUUAAAGAUGUUUCUUUUUGCCCCCUUGCCCCAGCCGCCAGUCUUCUUCUCAUCACUCUCUGUUAAGUUCACUGGCAGGAUUGAGUUCAUCUUUGUGGAUGUACGUCACUGGGACAACCAGAGCAGUCUAUUAGAGAUUGGUGUGACACAGAGCGCUGCCUACAUCUUGAAGAUGCCAGAGGGGCUCUAUCAUUAUGGCAAUAGUACUGGCGAGUUCUUGUCUGUAGCAGCCAUGGACACCUUUCUACGUUCAGUUCAGCCAGAGGUCAAUGACCUUUUUGUCCUCAGUCUUGUUCUGAUCAACUUGUUAGCGUGGAUGGACCUCUUCAUUACACAGGUCAAGUUCUACUCCUCUACAUUUGGUUGUCUGUCUGUCGGGAUAUUUUAUACUGUAUAUACCCUCCUGAUCAAAAUCAGUUGAAAAAUUGCAAGAAUUUACAUUUUGCACUGUUUAAUCUUAAGGGGGAUCUAACUAGAGCUUCAAAAUGCAAAAAGAAGAAAUGGGAGUGAGACAAAAAAACAUUUUGAGUAAGCAAUUUAUUGCAAACAAGCAUUAAAAUGAAAUAGGCUCAUCAGCUGAUCAAAAGUUUAAUAUCACAGCCUAUAAAAGCCAAAAUCUUGACAAAAAUGUGGAUUCAAUGUCAUUUUCUGUUAUGUAUUCACACUGUCAUGAUCUCUUGAUAGCAAAGGCAAAAAGGUUUCUCCCUUUGAACGCAGUCGGAUUGUUGAGCUGCGUAAGCAAGACCUCUUGCAGCGUGCCAUUGCUGCAGAGAUUGGACGCAGUAAGACAGUUAUUUGAAACUUCUUCAAACAUCCUGAUGGGUGUGUCUUUGGCCGUGAGCUGGAGGAUCCGAUUGGCUGUCCGUCAAGACACAGGACCAUCCUCGUCCAAUAACCAUCAGACGGUAUCUGCAAGUGAAGGGUUUUAAGAAAACCCUUGUCUUCAUGUCUCCUUGAAUGCCACAAAAUUGCCUGUUUGGAAUUUGCACAAGAGCACCACACAAGUUUUAUUCUCUGUUGAAAAAAAAAAAAAAAAAAAAAAGAAACCUUGACGGCCCUGAUGGCUUCCAAUGUUACUGGCCUGACGAGGUGAUCCCACUUGAGAUGUUUUCCACACAGCACAGUGGAGGGGGCGCCAUAAUGAACCUCCAGUGGAAUAAUGGAUCUUCAGGUUGUACAGGGGCGCCAAACAGCAGCCAGCUAUGUGGAGAUGUUGGGCAUCCCUCAUGACUGAAGGCUGUGUGAUAAUGACUGGCUUUUUCAACAGGACAACGCUGCACUUCACAAUGCCCGCAUUGCAGCGGAAUAAGCUCACUCUUUUGGACCGUCCUGCGUGUUCUGAUCUAAAUCCAAUUACAAAUAUUUGGGGAUGUAUGGCAAAGGAAGUUUACAAAAAUGGACAUCAGUUCCAGACAGGGGAUAGCUUCCGUGAAGCCAUCUUCACCACCUGGAGCAACAUUCCCACUAACCUGGAAACACUGGCAUCAAGCAUACCCAAACCAAUUGUUUAGAUGAUUAACAAGGAUGGCGCAGCUACUCAUUACUGAGUCCAUUUUUGAACAUUUUAUUUCCAUUUUAGGGGGGUUUCAGGGUUGUUGUUUUUUUUAGCUAUAGUCUUAAACUUUUAAUCACCUGAUGAACAGCCUAUUUCACUUUAAUGCUUGUUUGCAAUAAAUUGCUGACUUUUUUUUUUUUUGUCUACUCCCAUUUUGAAGGUCUACUUAGGAACACCAUUAAGCUCCAACUGUGCAAAAUGUACAUUUUUGCAAUUUUUCAACUGAUCUUAAGAUUUUGAUCAGGAGUGUAUGUUAUACAGUGGUGUGGAAAAAGUGUUUGCCCCCUUCCUGAUUUAUUUUAUUUUAUCUUUUUGCUAUUUUGUUUGUCACACUUGAAUGUUUCGGAUCAUCAAACAAAUUUAAAUAUUAGUCAGUGACAGCACAACUGAACACAAAAUGCAAUUUUUAAAUGAAACGUUUUAUUAUUAAGGGAGGAAAAAAUCCAAACUUACAUGGCCCUGUGUGAAAAAGUGAUUGCCCCCACCCUGUUAAAACAUAACUUAACUGAGAUUAAUUGAGAUCUGUCAGUCUGGAAAAGGUUAGAAAGCCAUUUCAAAAGCUUUGGGACUCCAGCGAACCCCAGUGAGAGCCAUUAUUCACAAAUGACGAAACCUGAAACUGUGGUGAACCUUGCCAGAAGUGGCCCUCCAACCACAAUUACCCCAAGAGCACAGCGACGACUCAUCCAAGAGGUUACAAAACACCCCCCAACAACAUCCAAAGAACUGCAGGCCUCACUUGCCUUAGUUAAGGUCAGUGUUCAUGACGCCACCAUAAGAAAGACACUGGGCAAAAACGGGUUGCAUGGCAGGGUUCCAAGACGAAAACCACUGCUGAACAGAAAGAACAUUAAGGCUUGUCUCAAUUUUGCCAGAAAAAACAUCUUGAUGAACUCCAAGAGCUUUGGGAAAAUACUCUGAGACAAAAGUUGAACCUUUUGGAAGGUGUGUGUCCCACUACAUCUGCUGUAAAAGCAACGCCGCAUUUCAGAAAAAGAACAUCAUACCAGUAGUAAAAUAUGGUGGUGGCAGUGUGAUGGUCUGGGGCUGUUUUGCUGCUUCAGGACCUGGAAGACUUGCUGUGAUAAAUGGAACCAUGAAUUCUGCUGUCUACCAAAAAAUCCUGAAGGAGAAUGUCCGGCCAUCUAUUGGUGACCUCAAGCUGAAACCAACUUGGGUUCUGCAGCAGGACAAUGAUCCAAAACACACCAGCAAUUCCACCUCUGAAUGACUGAAGAAAAACAAAAUUGAGAUAUUGCUCCUCUACAGAUACCUUUGGUUUGCACAUGUGGACGUGUACGCUAAUACAAAUAUGCACACAUGCAGCGUGCUCUGAGUGUACUACAACUUCAACUCCACAGCUUCCAUAAUAGAAAGCGCUAGAAAGACUCUAAAUUAGUCCCAAGAGUCAAAAUAAAGACUUACCAUUUAGCGAUCGCUCCGCUGCACAUGAUAGAGUGCAGAUGAGAAAAGCAGAAAUGUUACACCGUCGUCAGUUUUACUGUACUUUUUGCAUGCUUAUUGCACGAUCCCUCAACACUUUCAACAUCUAAGAAUUGUGCUGUGUGAUAAAAUGGUACAUUUUAGAGUGGGCUUUUCCUGUGGCCGGACCUGUGCAAUUAUAUGCCACACCUGUGAGGUGGUUGGAUUGUCUCAGCAAAGGAGAAGUGCUCACUAACACAGAUGUAGACACAUAAGUCAACAAUCUUUAAGGGAAAUAAACCUUUCGUGCACAUAGAGAAAGUUUUAAUCUUGAGUUCAAAGAUGGGAGCAAAAAACAAAAGUGAAAUUACAAAACUCUCACAGUAUACAUAGCUGCUAGGUCGCUGGUCGUCUGAAAGUGACAGUAAUAACUCAGCGGUGUGGUGGUCUUAUUAUUAACAUAGAAAGGUUGCUAGUACUUUGGCUUUUAUGUUUGUGUAACUGUUUCAUUUCAACUAAAUUCAGUUUUUGAGUUUAGUGUUUUAUUACUGUAUUUCAUAUGCUUUGUGAGUUCUGUGUACAGUGUAACUUUAUUUCACUAAUUUAAUUUAGCUAUAAUUUAAGUGUAAGAGCCGACUUACAUCAAAGCUCAACUUACAUCACAUUCUAGGAACGGAAGUCAUACAGAACCCGAGGACUAACUACAUAGUUUUAGUAUUGCUGACGUCAUAUCCAGUUGCAGUCGUCUCAGGUUCAAGUAGAUGGGGGCAAGACGUCAUGGGAAAUCAGAGCGAAAAUGCAGAAAUCUUUGAAAUAGGAUUUUGCAAAAGGUUAAUCCUAAAAUAGUCCAUAAUAAAGGGGAAACGAGUUCAAGAAACAACCAAAAAUAUUAUACUAAAACCAAAGUUAAAAUAUUGUUUGAACUGGAAAAUGCUAUAAAUCCAAUUUAUGACAGCAAAAAAAAUGCUUGUCAGCAACAAAGCAAGACUUUAAAAUAUCUGCCAAGACUAUAAUCAACUCAUCUUAACAAAAAAAGGAGGCUCGUCAUUGCUUGCCAUCUACCAAAAUCUGAACAUUUCCAUUCAGUACAGUACUUACCGAUGCAUCAAUCAGUCUAACAUUUCCUUUUUCGGCCGUAAAACCUGAUUCACGGUGCCUAGAUGUAAACUAGAUGUAAAGAUGUUAUGUCUCCCCAUACUUUUGUAAUUCUUUCAUUCCUUGUGAGCGUAUAAGUGAAAUGUCUACUUCAAUGAUGAUGUGAAAAUAGUUUACGUCGUCAGAAAAGUCUUUUUUUCUUUUUAAGAGUUCAUGCAUCCACUCCAUCUAUUUUUGGAUAUAUCUGGCCUGUAUAUCAUCCCCACUCUCAUGGAGUCGGAACCAUUUUACUUUGGGACUUGGGAAGACCACAUUGAGAAGGCAAUGACUGGGGUCGUGUACGUAGAAUCUUGGAUAAGUGACAGCCUCUUCACCUUCAGAUGUGGGGAACUCUGGUCACUCGAAGAAAUGUCUGACUUCUGACCUCUCAUGAGUCUCUCUACCAACUACUAGGGCUUAAUCUCCAAUCUAGCCCAUACCCCUAGGUUUUGCGUGUUCAUGAGAAUCAAGUGGUGUCCCAAAUAUCCUUAAAUCAAGGGGGCUAAGUGCUAUGGGGUGCCAGCCCUAGAAACCAAGUGUUGACGGGGACCAGACUGAAGAAUGAAGGGGAAGGCCGAGUUUACUCGGAUACCACACUCCAGCUGAAAGGACGACGGAGCGGAGACCGAAAGAAGCAUAUAAAUGAGAUGCAAAUGAUGAGCCAACUGAAGUCAGCCCUCUGCUACAUCACACAGCAUUCCAGGACCAUUCAAAAGCUGCAAACCCAUUAUGCACAAGUAAAAUGCAACAAAAUGCCAUUCUGUGCUUUCUUACAAAAGAAUCUGAGAGAGAGCUUCAACGACAGGAGGAGACCGAGGCCAAAACAAGGAGGUUUUUAAACCUCGAAAUAAUGCUUGAUUAGGUUUAUAAUUUGUUGAUGUUCAUUAAGUUUGUUAUAUUGUUAUUUCUAUUUUGAUACAUUUUCUUUUUUUAUAAAUGUUGUUACAGUGCUGGUUGUAAGCUGUUUAUUAGAGUUGUUUGUUGAUUUGCAAUAAAUGUCACAGUUUGUAAAUAUCUUUUUUUUUUUUAAGUGUUCAGCGGUUAGGCUAUAUAACAUUGAGAUAAUGUAGAAAUAUAUGCAUCUUACUUUAUGGCGAGAAAUAUUUAUUAUGAACUAUAAAAUGAUCUCAUCUGCCUAUGUCACAGCCAGGAAGCGGUGAUGGGUAAUGACGUAAUGAGAAUCAAGUGGUGUCCCAUUUCUUAGUGGUUUCUUCUCCUUGGCCCACGGUUUUAAGGGGUAUGGGUUAAACAAAGGGGCAAGGCUUAGGGGUGGAAUUGGGAUUCAGCCUAAGUCACAUUGUGCUUAAAGUUCAAAUAUUUCACGUCACACUUCUGAUUGAACAGCUUAUAUUAUUGGCAUGAAAAUUGUGAUUUAAAUUUUUAUGAUUACAAGUUUCAUUGGUUCAUUGACUCCCAACCACAUACACAUACAGUGCCAAAUGAACUACUGGUGCGUAACCCACACCCACCCCACACACGUAACACAACUCAACAUUGACUCAACAUUCCCCACAUCAGCAUGGAUUGGAACAUUGUAUACUUAUUGUAAAAUGCAGAGAGUAGAGAUCAAUAUUUUUUGUACUCAAUGACCAGUGUCCAUUUUAAAUAUAUUUAAUUUUCCAUCUUUUUUUCCACAUUUU